rnacentral:rRNA from 1 species
UACGGAGGGUGCGAGCGUUGUCCGGAAUUAUUGGGCGUAAAGAGCUCGUAGGCGGUUUGUCGCGUCGACUGUGAAAACCCGAGGCUUAACCUCGGGCCUGCAGUCGAUACGGGCAGACUAGAGUUCGGUAGGGGAGACUGGAAUUCCGGGUGUAGCGGUGAAAUGCGUAGAUAUCCGGAGGAACACCGGUGGCGAAGGCGGCUUCCUGGACCGACACUGACGCUGAGGCGCGAAAGCUAGGGGAGCAAACGGG